rnacentral:lncRNA from 1 species
AUGAUGAGCUCGUUGGCGGCAGACGCGCAGGAGGACGGGACCGAGGCCCGGUCGACCUCGUCGAGCCCCUCGUCGCGGAGGAUGCGGACGAGCCAGAAUGUUGUCCCCGCAGCCUCCCCAAGAUUACAUGUCCUCUCGCGCCACUAUGGCCUCAUCGAGCUCCCGCUCGCGCCGUGGCCCCCCGCCUCACCUACUAGAUCGGGUGGGUGGCCCCCGUUUACGCUCAAGGAGAUGGAAAUGACGCCAGAUCCUGCCAUCGACGCCUUCAACGUGCGCCAAUGUGUCAUCUCCUCUCUCCCGAGCAGCGGCAGCAGCGUCACCAAGCUCGACAAUGCUACAAUGGAUGUGGAUCUUGAGUUCAAGGUCACGAGAGCAGCUGAGAGCUACUCCAAAUAUGGUUGCUGCCGUCUGGGCCGCUUGAUAAAGAGGAGAAGUCGUUGCUGCCUUACUCCUCACCUGCCUGACGCUGCCCCUCUCCAGUUAGCUGCUAGCAUAGAGAUCAUGAGGAAGAAAGAGGAGAGGUGGAAAGAUGGAGAAGAGAGGAGGUUGGAAGAAGAAGAUAUAGUCUUUGACAUGUGUUUUCCAGGUGGGUCUCACUUCAUUUUUCUGACUUGAAGUGCCACAA